rnacentral:rRNA from 1 species
GGCGGACGAGUGAGUAAUGCUUGGGAAUCUACCUUGUAGUGGGGGACAACUUCCGGAAACGGGAGCUAAUACCGCAUACGUCCUACGGGAGAAAGUGGGGGAUCUUCGGACCUCACGCUAUUGGAUGAGCCCAAGUCGGAUUAGCUUGUUGGUGGGGUAAUGGCCUACCAAGGCGACGAUCCGUAGCUGGUCUGAGAGGACGAUCAGCCACACUGGGACUGAGACACGGCCCAG